AAGAGCGACAUCAUUGAUGUAUACAGAGAAGAGAGUCGGCCCAAGAAUUGAACCCUGUGGCACCUCCAUAGAGACUGACAGUGGUCCGGAGAACAGACCCUCUGAUUUGACACACUGAACUCUAUCAGAGAAGUAGUUGGUGAACCAGGCGAGGCAAACAUUUGAGAAAUAUUGAUAUAGAUAGAACCCUCACAAAAACACAUGGAACAACUGCGAAAAGAAAUGGCUGAGGAUAUACAAAAAAAGUCUGAGUUCAACAAGGCCAACAACUGCUUCAUGUGUGCCACUGAUAAAGAACCUGGAUGAGGCCCAAAGACUGACUGGGAAUGAAGACAAGAGUUCAGAGUGAAGAACACAAACUGGAAGUGAUGUCUUUGUUGUUGAAAAUGUAUGCUAUACCCCAUCCACACUGAAGAGUCUCAGAAAUGUACAUCAACCAGGGAUAGAGAGACAGUUAACACCGAAAUGUUUUGUACUUAUUUGAAGUAAAGUGUCUGACAUAUUGUAGACUUUUAAUCUUUUCCAACUUCUGUUUAAUUUGUCAAUAUCCCAUUUUUCUUCAUUGAUUUUCUGGCCACCAUUACAUGUUCAAUAUUUGUAUUGACAAGCAAACACCACCUUACUCUCCAUCCCGGCUUUGGACAAUUAAUAAAACAUGACUCUCGUACUUUGCCCUUUAUGGUUGAUAUUAACGAUGAGAGACCGAUAAUAUCUCCUUUCUCCUAGUGUGUACCACUGUUAAAUAAAGUUUUUAAAAAAAGGAAAAAUAUGUACUUAGAACUACCAAUUAUUAUAGAUAAAUAUUAAAGAAAAGGGUUAACAACACUGGACUGAACCCCCUAAAUUGUCAAAGUAAUAUUAAUGUACAACAAUAUAGAAGAUACAUGACUAGAGGUUAUGUAAUAUGGGUGUAUAUCCACUGCAUGCUUAGGUGUGUAAUUGACAUGACCAAGGAGCUAUUGAAAUGUAAAACUAUGAAAAAUGUACGUUACACUGCGUGAUUUUACAGUACAAACAAGAGUGUGCAAUAUAUAAGGCUAGUCUGUGAACAUUCUGAAGUUUGUUUGAGUCCAGCAAGUCACAUGACCAAUGAGCUAUUGAAGUUUUAAAUUCUGAAAAAUGAAUGUAAAAUCGAGUGAUAUGAAAAUGGACAAACUAAAGGGUGUGCAAUACAUAAGGGUGGUCCGUGUACAUUCUGCACCUUGUUUGAAGCCAUAUGACCAAGGAGCUAUUGAAAUGAGAAAGUUUGAAAAAUUAAUGUAAAAACGUGAGAUGAACAUUAACAAACCAAAGGGUGUGAAAUAUAGAAGGGCAGUCAGUGGACAUUCUGAACCUUGUUUGAGUCAAGUAGGUCACAUGACCAAAGAGCUAUUGAAAUUCAAAUGUUAAAAAAGUUUGUACUUUGUUUACGCUCCAUAACUAAUUCAACUAGGAAUACAACAUGCAGCUCACAUUUCCACAUGUUUAUUAGCUUUGGAAAGUGAAUUAAUGUCCAAAUCGUGGCUUAUUUAGAGUCUGUGGCGCAAGCGGUUUGAAAGCGUGAAUAUCUGUAGAAUAUCCAACUUGAAACUGUCUAUCUCGGUUUGCAGUGAGGGGUUUAAGCAGGUGUGUAGUGCUAUGGCAAAAACGUGCACCCCUUUGGUCCCCAAGACCUGGAUUAACAAACAGAUAGAAUCCAUGGAUUCUAUGUAUGGGUGGUCUAUUUCUAUGAGAUUGUCUGUAGUAGCCUAGAGUCUCAGUAAAGGAAGGUUGAGAUGCUACCACGAUAUACAAGGGCUCUAAAAUACAUAGAUAUUAGGGUGGAAAACAAAUAUGGGGGCACCAUGUUGGUCAGAAAGAGAUAUAAACACAUUUUUUCCCAAAACACUGUUCUAAUCACAAUGGAGAGAAUUAUUAAUGCACUGAUAUGUAAAUUGUAAUGCUUGCAUGACCUCAGGAUACCAACAAAUUCAGUAAUUGUGAAGAACUUUGAUCUCAGUUCCAAACAAAAAGGAUGCACCCAAAGAUUAGUAUACCCUUUAAUCUGUGGCACCCCUCUGCAAUACAGGUAGUGUUUUUCAUGUUCAUAAGAUGGCAGCAUUGGGCUAGCUAGGCUUAAGCCUUUGAAGCAUUAAUAAUACAUUAAACUGGAUGGUGGAUCAGAAAACUUGGUGAUAAUAAUACACAAUAACCAAUGCGUGCACAAUGUUCAGAAGUGGACACAUAGUGGAUACACCUCAGUGAUUAUAACUGGCACCCAAGGGUCAUAACAGUGAUGAAUAGGAUUGAGGUAGGCAGUGCCACAACAACCAACCGCAGGAUCAAGCAACUUCUCGAAAAGUCCAUACUUCUUCAAUUUCAAAAACGGCAUGUUCCUUUUCCAUUUAAACCUGCUCAUGUUGCAUUUUCUGACCACAUUCUCUGGUAUUGCAAUGACCUUGUAUUGUGCUAUGGUAACCAUGUUUACAAAUAUUAAGUUCUGCUUUUCUGAUGUAUCAAAUACUUAUGUCAUGCAAAUGAAUUACUUAAUCAUACAAUGUGACUUUCUGGAUUUUUGUUUUAGAUUCAAUCUUUCACAGUUGACCUGUGUACCUAUUAUAAAAAUUACAGACCUCUACAUGCUUUAAGUAGGAAACACUGCCGAUUUUGCAGGUUAUCAAAUACUUGUUCUUCCCAUUGUAUAUAUUGACAAUGUUUUAACCAUUUCUAAGUCAAAGAAGAAAUCUAUUUUGAGCAAAGCAAGUUGUGGCUCCUUUUAGGUGAACACAUUCACUCAAAUGUGUUUAAGCAUUACAGGCAUCUUCUCUCAAAUGCCCUGACUGGCUGUGAUAGGUACGUUUAGAAUACAUGCCUUCUGAUUAUGCAAUAGACCAUGGUUAGUGGGGAGGAAGCAUUUCAGAUUUCAAAAGAAUGACUGUCCUAAAAAAAUAAAGACUACGGCAUCCCUGUAAACAACUAACUUGCCAUGUCCAAGCAUGAGACAGGUUGCUACUCAGAC